ACAUGCAAGUCGAACGAUGAAGCCCUGCUUGCAGGGUGGAUUAGUGGCGCACGGGUGAGUAAAGAAUAGAUUACAUGCCUCAUAGACCGGGACAACAGUUGGAAACGACUGCUAAUACUGGAUAUUCCCUACGGGGGAAAGCUUUUGCGCUAUGAGAUUGGUCUAUUUCCCAUCAGCUAGUUGGUAAGGUAAUGGCUUACCAAGGCUAUGACGGGUAGCUGGUCUUAGAGGACGAUCAGCCACACUGGAACUGAGACACGGUCCAGACUCCUACGGGAGGCAGCAGUGGGGAAUAUUGCACAAUGGGGGAAACCCUGAUGCAGCAACGCCGCGUGAAGGAUGACGCAUUUCGGUGUGUAAACUCCUUUUAUUAAGGAAGAAAUUUGACGGUACUUAAUGAAUAAGCACCGGCUAACUCCGUGCCAGCAGCCGCGGUAAUACGGAGGGUGCAAGCGUUACUCGGAAUUACUGGGCGUAAAGGACGCGUAGGCGGCCAGAUAAGUUAGAUGUGAAAUCCUAUGGCUUAACCAUAGAACUGCAUCUAAAACUAUUUGGCUAGAGUGAGGGAGAGGUCAGUGGAAUUAGUGGUGUAGGGGUAAAAUCCGUAGAGAUCACUAGGAAUACUCAUUGCGAAGGCGACUGACUGGAACUUAACUGACGCUGAGGCGUGAAAGCGUGGGGAGCAAACAGGAUUAGAUACCCUGGUAGUCCACGCCCUAAACGAUGUACACUAGUUGUUGGAAUGCAAGUCAUUUCAGUAAUGCAGCUAACGCAUUAAGUGUACCGCCUGGGGAGUACGGUCGCAAGAUUAAAACUCAAAGGAAUAGACGGGGACCCGCACAAGUGGUGGAGCAUGUGGUUUAAUUCGAAGAUACACGAAGAACCUUACCUGGCCUUGACAUUGAUAGAAUCUGCUAGAGAUAGCGGAGUGCCUUUCGGGGAACUUGAAAACAGGUGCUGCACGGCUGUCGUCAGCUCGUGUCGUGAGAUGUUGGGUUAAGUCCCGCAACGAGCGCAACCCUCGUCCUUAGUUGCCAGCAGUUCGGCUGGGCACUCUAAGGAGACUGCCUUCGCAAGGAGGAGGAAGGUGAGGACGACGUCAAGUCAUCAUGGCCCUUACGGCCAGGGCUACACACGUGCUACAAUGGGGCGUACAGAGAGUUGCGAUACCGCGAGGUGGAGCCAAUCUCAUAAAGCGUCUCUCAGUUCGGAUUGGAGUCUGCAACUCGACUCCAUGAAGCUGGAAUCACUAGUAAUCGUAGAUCAGCUAAGCUACGGUGAAUACGUUCCCGGGUCUUGUACCCACCGCCCGUCACACCAUGGGAGUUGAUUUCGCCCGAAGCGGGGAUGCCAA
rnacentral:rRNA from 1 species